CCUAGGAGGAGUCCCCAGGAGGUCUGUGGGUUUGCAGGUGGCAAGGGCGGCUUCCGAUGGCAGUCCCCCGGGCCUGGCGCACACCCUAGUGUGAUUUAUGAAAAAUACUCGUGGUGUACACAGACACACACGGAUGCGGAACUGAAAUCACCAUUUCCUGACUUCCUUGCGGACACUCAGUAAGAUCUGUGAGAAGAGAUUCCAUGUGGCUUGAGGCCCUCCUGUGAGCUGAGUCAUGCUAAGGGAAGAGUGGCUGGACACAGAGAGCUGCUCGGCUCAGUCUGGUGCCAGGGUGCCCAGGGCUGCUCUCUCUUGCUUGGAGUAUAUUCAGCGAACAAGAAAUAUGCUAGGAGAAUUGGGAGCCAUAAGGGGAGAACGAAACAUUUAAAUGGACUCAAGGAUGGCACUGCAGAGGCAAAAGCAACCUCCAAAACACUGAAUCAAUAUUUGGAUAAAGAAGAAAAAAAAAUCUUCUUACCAACUUCAAACAGUUUGGUGGCAUUAAACUCCUCACUUCCCGCAAGCAGACUCACUUCAGUGGCAGCUGUCCUAAAGGUGUCUUCAAUUCCUAAACACAGACAGGAGCUCAUUUUUCCCCAGUUAUGUGGAAAAAGUUACACCCCUCCCCUGGCAAAUAAAAAACCAAAUACA